rnacentral:rRNA from 1 species
UACGAAAGGAGCAGGUGUUAUUCAGAUUAACUGGGCGUAAAGGGCACGUAGGUGGUUUGUUUAUGUGUAUUAUUAAAUUGUAAAAGCAUAACUUUAUAACGUAUUACAGACAACAAAAACUAGAGUUAGGUAGAGGGUAGUAGAAUUUCUAAUGUAAAGGUGAAAAUUUUGAUAAAAAUUUAGAGAGAAUACCAAUGGCGUAAGCAAACU